GACGAACCGUGCGAACGUUGUUCGGAAUCACUGGGCUUAAAGGGCGCGUAGGCGGCUCGCGAGGUCGGGGGUGAAAUCCCACGGCUUAACCGUGGAAGGGCCUUCGAUACCGGCGGGCUCGAGGAAGGUAGGGGUGCGCGGAACUUCUGGUGGAGCGGUGAAAUGCGUUGAUAUCAGAAGGAACGCCGGCGGCGAAAGCGGCGCACUGGAUCUUUUCUGACGCUGAGGCGCGAAAAGCCAGGGGAGCAAACGGGG
rnacentral:rRNA from 1 species